UAAGAUUUCGAAGGGAGAAAAGAGGGGGAAAGGGGAGACAGGAUCUCCUGGCUAAAUUUGGAAAAAAAAGUGGUUAUUUUGUACAUCUCAUGAAGCAUGAAAGUGAGAAACCUACUAGAGCUAUUCUAUUUUGUGCCUAUUUUACUGCCCCUUCAUUAUUUCGGCAUUUCAGUGGACGAAAUUGUUCAGUUUGGUGUCUUUUUGUCCCUAAUUUAUGGAAUGCCAUACUAACUGUAAGCGACCCGAUUACUCAAAAAUCUUACCCCCUAACUUUCAUCCCCUGAAGUUUUUAUUUUAAUUGCUCCGCUGGAAUGGUUUAAAUCGAUAGUGUAAAGUCUCCCCUUAAUAGUCAAUUUUGAUCUUUAUAAUUCCAUUCAUCCUGUUACUAAACCUCAUUUCGUCGAGUUCAAAGGAGAAUGAACUUGUGUUGUGUCAGUGCCAUGUCGGGAGGGACACUUGUAAGGAAACUGAUCUACAGUGAUAACGAAGGUGAACUGUGAAAGAGGAACGCAGCCAAAAUCUCAAAGAGCUCGAGAGAUGACAUGGCUCUACGACCUACCUCUACCGUUCCAAGUACCAUUUGCCAACCUUGUUAGCAAUCCCGUGUGGACUUACACGAUGUACGCUCAGUUUCUCCUUUACGCGUUCAUACUGGUCACGCCUCUAGGAUUUUAAAUGUUUGAUGCCUUAAGUCCUUAAGUACUCUUUGUCCGGAGGAAACUAAUACCGAGCACUUCGCAUAAGAUCUCCGAUACGAAAGGAAGAGUAUCGCAAAGAUCUAAUUGACUCGUCUCUCUUCUGAACUAACAAAAAAGGUGUUGAGGAAUGAUAAAACUCUUCUACCUACCCCUACCAUUUUGCUUGCCCAGCUUCGGAGGCCUCUUUCGAGAUCCGGAUUGGACUUGGACCAUGUACGGACAGUUCCUCCUUUACGUCUUCUUACUCAUCAAUCCUGACUUAGGAUUGUAAGUUUCAAUACGGAUAUAUUGUCUCCGGAGUGAAAUCAUACAACUUACCCAGCAAUCGCUGAUAGAGAGGGAAGAGUAUCCGAAAAAAAUUGAAGACUCUUCUAGACCAUAAUGUAAAGAUAUCUCUCGGCGACGACGAUGGCAGUGAUAGACUUGGAGCCACCGACACUGAUCCCCAUACCGAUUCCGAUUCCCUACAAAAGGUUCAGCUUCACCGAAAUGUGCGAAAUAGUCUUAUUUCUCUACCUUUUAUUCGCUUGAUGUCAACACCAAACGCAGCGUUAAUUUCAUCGCGUGAGUUACAGUUGUGGCCGGAUUUCACUUUAAUUUCAGACAAUUUGUGCAUUGUGUUUAUCUCCAACUCAAACCAGAGACUACAAACUUUUAAAAAAAAAAAAAAAUACUUCCUUCAGCAGAAUGAGGAAAUUUUUCGGGCGACUCGGACGAUUAUCUUUCGUCCCCGUUUUGCUACCCAUUCACUUUAACGGUAUUUCUUUUGAUGAGCUUAUUCAAUUCGGCUUAUUCUUGUACCUACUUUUCGGCACUCCAUAUUAGUAGACCCUGAACAGUUUGAUCAGUUGAUCAAUAAAUCGACCGAUUAUCCGAGAGGGAAAUUCGGUGAGUGAGCAAUUCACGAGCAUUCAUCUCUAAGAAAAUUAAUACCCGUGUCUCUUUGAAUUCAACUCCGGUGGAAUGGUCCAAUCGAUGGUGUGGAUUGUCGAUUUUGACUUCAUUAGUCAAUUUGUCUUAUUCCUCUACGUACUGUUCAGAGAAUGAGACUGUAUCUUGACAAGGACGCUGAUCUGCAGUGAUGACAAAAGUAAACUACGGGAAAAAGGAGCGAAGCCAGACUUUUCAAAUUCUCGCCAUUCACCAGCUAUUAAACCAACCCAAUUCAUAGGAUAUUUGAGAAAUGAUCAGGUUCUUCCUCACACCUUUUGGCCUACCAUUUUCCUUUUUGAUUGGACCAGGAGAUUGGACUUUUACAGAAUACGCAGAAUUAUUCCUUUACGUGUUCUUGCUGCUAAAUCCUGACCUGGGGCUGUGAAGCGAUUAUGCAUUACAGUCAUUUCUUUCCAAGGAAAAAAACCAUUUCAGGUAUAAUCUGACCCGAUCAUAGCAAUGUGACACCAAAAAGAGCCCUGAAACCUGCCAUACAACCUGAAGAAGAUAGACCUUUCACUUUUUCUUGCACAAGAUAUCUUCAGUGGAAUAAAGCGUAAGAAUAUGUAUCAGGAAAGGUGAUUUACUCAAAGAUGAAAACAAAAACUUGCCAUAAUUUCUUUACAUGACAACAGUGCGUCUUCAUGAUUUCCACUAAAAUACAUGCAAAAAUUGAGGCAUGAUUGUUGAAUAUCUCAUAUUUUUUGCAAAAUAAAGAUAUUGCACUUAAUGCUAUGGAAUGAUUUAAGCACCUUUCCUGAUUUCUACUGCCAGAUUGUUAUAAGUUUGUUCGCUCUUAGUUGAUUGUGUCUUCUAUACUGCUGUCAUACUACUAAAAUUAUGUUUGAUACAAAGGGAUCUUACCACGAAUUGUGCUGUUAUGUAGACAGUUGUGAAAGUCUCUCAAACCUCCUUAACCUAUUUUGGUCCAUCUGAAAAAGGAAACAAAAAAGAAAUAAAAAAUAAUAUGAGAUUGAAGUGUGUAAGUUGUUCCAAGACAAGACCUAUGAUUUCAGAUAGAAUCAAACGAUACCCGCUACAUGACAGCAAACAUCAGUUCACUCGAAAUGAGGAGGUAAAGUUCUUCAUCAGAUUCUCAUUAGGCAUUGAAUGAGUUAUAGAGGACAUUUUAAAAUUACUCAUCACAUACAAUGGGUUUCAGUGCUUCCAGGAAAAUCUAGAAAUAGAAAUAGAAAAAAAUGUGAAAAAUAUAAUUGGAUGCAAAUGUGUGAAGUCAGCUCUGUAGCUUCAGAGAUGCUUCAACUUCAGGAAAUGCUGAAAUAUACAGUAAUAAACAAAAAAUUAAGGGUAAAAACAUUUUAAAAUUCAAUUUUAAUCGAACAUUUUUCGAUUAUCUUGGUUAAAUGCGGGUACAGUUAUGCAAACCAACACAAUCCUCAAAAACUUCUAUUGAUACCUCCCAAAAUGAGUUUGUGGCAUUACAGCUGUAAUUUGGUUUGCCUAUGCUCCACUUUGAAGGCGUUUUAUGCAACUACGGCUGCCUUCGAACACCUUUUAUUGCGGUUGUGCAAUUGUGCACUUGUGCAGGCAAUAGUGAAGGCAAUUUGUGGCGAUGCGAAUUUAAGUUUUUAUUAUUAUUAUAGUGUAAAUAAAAAAUUAAUUUACACAGUUAUUCUAGGUUACAUAUUGGUGUAGAGAGAUAAAAAAAGGACAGGAAUUAUUAACAGAAACACGUCAAGUUGCAUCAAGUUUGAACUGAGAAAAGAACGUUUUGAAGUUUUAUUCCUUUAUGAGACUCAGUGUUGGGGACAAAGUUCAACUACUAUUUUCACGAUGAAAAUAUUUUUACUCGAAUUGAAGUUUUUGACAGGAGAAAAUUUAUGACUAUUUGAUUUCAAAACUACUCCUAACUUAUUUUUAGCAGAAAUGUAACUUAAAGCAUUUCUGUUAAGCAGCUCUGUGCAAAUACAUUAACAGGAAAUAAAGGAAAUUUCUGAUUA